UAAACCUCGGUGCCCAGGGUUAUUGGGGAAGGAGAAAGAGCCAGGACCAGCCCUUCCUGCAUGGGAGCAGGGUGAAAACCUUCUGGAUCUGGGGGUGAGGGCUCAGCAGCCAACCCUGUGCCUGGGAGAGGAUGCUCCUGGAGGGAUCGCUCAGAGAACCCAGAUCCUGGGAUGUGAAUCCUAUUGGAAAGUCAUCAGCUCAGCAGCCUGGAGCAGGAUGAGGAUGAGGAUGAGGAUGAGGAUGAGGAUGAGGGUUUCUCCCUGCCAUGGCUCCAGAGCCCAGCAGAGGCUCAUGUUCUCCCCACUGCCCUGUUCCAUGUGCCCAUCCCAGGACGUGUGGUGAUGGCAGAAGGGAGGAGGCUUUGCUGUGGUUGCUGAAUCCCAGGGACUCGUGGAUCCUGCCUGCUGCCUGGGGAGCUGUUCCCAUCUCUCUUCUCCCUUCAUUCGGGGUCUGUCCUGGCCCUGUCCAAAAGGAGGAAGUGAACCCCCAAAUCUCCCCCAAGCUGGUCUGGGGGCACUGACGGGGCAGGUGAUGGGUGCUGUGGGUUUUGCUUGAUGAGGGGACUGGUGGCAAAUUGGUUUUACUGGAUUUGGAGGGGCUGUCUCUCAUCACAGCAGCCCCGCAGCAGCGCUCGCUGCCCAGCGAGGAGCGGGGUAAUUCCAGUUUAUUUGUUCCCCUAUUUUCUCUGCCUGUGCUGUGUCAUCCCCCUGCUCUGCUGGCCCUGGUGACUUUGUCCUCCCAGCUAGACCUGAAUUUGGGGUGGAUUUCUCACUUUUUGGGUGUCCCCAGCCAGGAGUUUCACAUCCCAGACCACAUCAGGGUGAAACCAUCUCCAAGCUUUGCCGUCUCUUUCCCAAGCAGGAAUUGAUUCAGCUCCAGGACUGCUGGUCCUGGAAGAGGGAAAGUCCUGAGGUAGGAAAACCAGAGCCCUCUGAAAAUCCACUCUGCUGUGGACAGAGCCCCGCCUGGAGCUCUGUAAAUCCCGAGCUGAUCCACGCCCAGGAAUUACAGUAAUUUAAUGGAGCUGGUUUCUAGAUGGGUUCAUCCCUGUGCCAGCCGCUGCAACGAUUGAACUAAACUGAUUUUCCUACUGAA